CCUACGGGAGGCUGCAGUGGGGAAUAUUGCACAAUGGGCGCAAGCCUGAUGCAGCCAUGCCGCGUGUGUGAAGAAGGCCUUCGGGUUGUAAAGCACUUUCAGCGGGGAGGAAGGCGUUAAGGUUAAUAACCUUGGCGAUUGACGUUACCCGCAGAAGAAGCACCGGCUAACUCCGUGCCAGCAGCCGCGGUAAUACGGAGGGUGCAAGCGUUAAUCGGAAUUACUGGGCGUAAAGCGCACGCAGGCGGUCUGUCAAGUCGGAUGUGAAAUCCCCGGGCUCAACCUGGGAACUGCAUUCGAAACUGGCAGGCUAGAGUCUUAUAGAGGGGGGUAGAAUUCCAGGUGUAGCGGUGAAAUGCGUAGAGAUCUGGAGGAAUACCGGUGGCGAAGGCGGCCCCCUGGACAAAGACUGACGCUCAGGUGCGAAAGCGUGGGGAGCAAACAGGAUUAAAUACCCCAGUAGUC
rnacentral:rRNA from 1 species